rnacentral:tRNA from 1 species
CCUCUCGUAGUUUAGUGGUAAAAAAUUGGUGCGAAAAGCCAAAGGUCCUGGGGUCGAUUCCCGGUGGGGGUG